CCAGUCGGCCGGGCAGUCGCGUCCUCGAUGCUCGCAUCGGGGCCGAGGAAAGUCCGGGCUCCAACCGGCACGGUGGUGGGUAACGCCCACCCGGAGCGAUCCGCGGGACAGUGCCACAGAGAGCAGACCGCCGCAGCCGCUUCGGCGGCAGCGGUAAGGGUGAAAGGGUGGUGUAAGAGACCACCGCGGCCUCGGUGACGAGGUCGGCACGGCAAACCCCACCGGGAGCAAGGUCAGACAGGGAACGCUGAGGGCGCCGGCCCGAGUUCCCGGGUAGACCGCUGGAGGUUGUCGGCAACGGCGAUCCGAGAUGGAUGACUGCCGAUCACAGAACCCGGCUUACAGGCCGACUGGUCCA
rfam:Brachybacterium muris TCD-AY4 contig_4, whole genome shotgun sequence.